CGGGAUGUAGCGCAGGUGGUAGCGCACAUGGUUUGGGACCAUGGGGCCGCAGGUUCGAAUCCUGUCAUCCCGACCA
rnacentral:tRNA from 1 species